rnacentral:rRNA from 1 species
UACGUAGGGGGCGAGCGUUGUCCGGAAUUAUUGGGCGUAAAGAGCGUGUAGGCGGUUCGGUAAGUCUGCCGUGAAAACCUGGGGCUCAACCCCGGGCGUGCGGUGGAUACUGCCGGGCUAGAGGGUGGUAGAGGCGAGUGGAAUUCCCGGUGUAGCGGUGAAAUGCGCAGAUAUCAGGAGGAACACCUGAGGCGAAGGCGGGUUGCUAGGCUGACACUGACGCUGAUGCGCGAAAGCCAGGGGAGCAAACAGG